AGCAGGCGCGGCAGGGCCCCGGCUCACAUUGCUCCGGGACCGCCCAAAAUGGGGAAAGGCAUCUGUGGUUUUCUUUUCAAAAUUAUCCUGCUAGUCAGGUGUAUCAGGCCUGGCAUGCAUCCUUGGCACAAGUUGUUGUCUGUCCUACUACUGAAUUUCAACUUGUUAGCAAUUUACUGCUUGUCAAAAUUAAUCUCAGGGUGGUUUGAAGGAAUUGAUUCCAACGUGGAGGGAGUUUUUAUCAUCCAAUAAGAACCAGACCUUAAGGCCCAGAGGAGCAGAAGCAUUGGUGUGAGAGUGUUGGCAAGUGACAUCUAUUAUUCUCAUUGCCACUUCAUCUUGGAUUUGUAUCAUGAGCUUGAUAAACCUCACACCUGCUGAUUUGAGGGAGAAGGAAAUGAAGAAGAAAAUACAGAGCAAUUGUCUCCUUGGAGCAACGCCAGCACUACAAGGACGACUUCAAUGCAGAAUAUGAGGAAUAUUGGAAUUUAUAUUUUAAGAUUGACAAGAUCAUCAAGAAAUUCAGACAAUUUCAGGAGCAAUGGAAGUCUCUGACUCCAGGCUCCAAAGCUUAUCAGAUGCUGCAUUAUCGAAUCCUAGCAGAUUAUCAGCAGUUACAACAGGUACGUGUGACACCAGACCUGCAGGGCCAUGGCAACUGCUAAGUUUGCCUCAAGGCAUUUUUAAAGCAAAGGACAUCAGAUUCUAAGCUCUGCAGAAGUGUUUGCGUGCCCUGAUUUUCUUUUGC